AUUGAACGCUGGCGGCAGGCUUAACACAUGCAAGUCGAGCGGUAGCACAGGGGAGCUUGCUCCCUGGGUGACGAGCGGCGGACGGGUGAGUAAUGUCUGGGAAACUGCCUGAUGGAGGGGGAUAACUACUGGAAACGGUAGCUAAUACCGCAUAACGUCGCAAGACCAAAGAGGGGGACCUUCGGGCCUCUUGCCAUCAGAUGUGCCCAGAUGGGAUUAGCUAGUGGGUGGGGUAAUGGCUCACCUAGGCGACGAUCCCUAGCUGGUCUGAGAGGAUGACCAGCCACACUGGAACUGAGACACGGUCCAGACUCCUACGGGAGGCAGCAGUGGGGAAUAUUGCACAAUGGGCGCAAGCCUGAUGCAGCCAUGCCGCGUGUGUGAAGAAGGCCUUCGGGUUGUAAAGCACUUUCAGCGGGGAGGAAGGUGGUGAACUUAAUACGUUCAUCAAUUGACGUUACUCGCAGAAGAAGCACCGGCUAACUCCGUG
rnacentral:rRNA from 1 species